rnacentral:rRNA from 1 species
GAUGAACGCUGGCGGCGUGCUUAACACAUGCAAGUCGAACGAUGAACCGGGUGCUUGCACUCGGGGAUUAGUGGCGAACGGGUGAGUAACACGUGAGCAACCUGCCCCUGACUCUGGGAUAAGCGCUGGAAACGGCGUCUAAUACUGGAUAUGUCCCGUCACCGCAUGGUGUGCGGGUGGAAAGAUUUUUCGGUUGGGGAUGGGCUCGCGGCCUAUCAGCUUGUUGUGGAGGUAAUGGCUCACCAAGGCGUCGACGGGUAGCCGGCCUGAGAGGGUGACCGGCCACACUGGGACUGAGACACGGCCCAGACUCCUACGGGAGGCAGCAGUGGGGAAUAUUGCACAAUGGGCGGAAGCCUGAUGCAGCAACGCCGCGUGAGGGAUGACGGCCUUCGGGUUGUAAACCUCUUUUAGCAGGGAAGAAGCGAGAGUGACGGUACCUGCAGAAAAAGCACCGGCUAACUACGUGCCAGCAGCCGCAGUAA